GACGAACGCUGGCGGCGUGCUUAACACAUGCAAGUCGAACGGAAAGGCCCUGCUUUUGUGGGGUGCUCGAGUGGCGAACGGGUGAGUAACACGUGAGUAACCCGCCCCUGACUUUGGGAUAACUCCAGGAAAAUGGGGCUAAUACCGGAUAGGAGCUCCUGCUGCACGGUGGGGGUUGGAAAGUUUCGGCGGUUGGGGAUGGACUCGCGGCUUAUCAGCUUGUUGGUGGGGUAGUGGCUUACCAAGGCUUCGACGGGUAGCCGGCCUGAGAGGGUGACCGGCCACAUUGGGACUGCGAUACGGCCCAGACUCCUACGGGAGGCAGCAGUGGGAAAUCUUGCGCAAUGGGCGGGAGCCUGAUGCAGCAACGCCGCGUGCGGGAUGACGGCCUUCGGGUUGUAAACCGCUUUCGCCUGUGACGAAGCGUGAGUGACGGUAAUGGGUAAAGAAGCACCGGCUAACUACGUG
rnacentral:rRNA from 1 species